CCUACGGGGGGCAGCAGUGGGGAAUAUUGCACAAUGGGGGAAACCCUGAUGCAGCGACGCCGCGUGAAGGAAGAAGUAUUUCGGUAUGUAAACUUCUAUCAGCAGGGAAGAAAGUGACGGUACCUGACUAAGAAGCCCCGGCUAACUACGUGCCAGCAGCCGCGGUAAUACGUAGGGGGCAGGCGUUAUCCGGAUUUACUGGGUGAAAAGGGAGCGUAGGCGGCGAUGCAAGUCAGAAGGGAAAGCCCGGGGCUCAACUCCGGGACUGCUUUUGAAACUGUAGGGCUAGAUUGAAGGAGAGGCGAGUGGAAUUCCUAGUGAAGCGGUGAAAUGCGUAGAUAUUAGGAGGAACACCAGUGGCGAAGGCGGCUUGCUGGACUGUAAAUGACGCUGAGGCUCGAAAGCGUGGGGAGCAAACAGGAUUAGAUACCCUGUAGUC
rnacentral:rRNA from 1 species